GAUUAAACUAGUAAAAUUCAACCCAUUGUGGCUGAUAGGGGUUUACAUACAACAUCACAAAGGUUGGGGAAUUAGAAAGACCUGAGCUCACGUCCCACCUGUGAUGGCACUGUGAUGCGGGCCUUGGGUGAGCUGGCCUCUUGAAGGCCUCCUUUCCCCAAAUACCCAAGAUGUACUGAUGUUUAUGGGGGGGGGGUGUUGGUGGGGAGACUAACUAUACUGCCUAACACUAAUAGGAAUCUCUGAAGAAAGAUUGAACUGACAAAGGAAACUUGCCAUUUGAAAUUUAUAAAAGAAGAACCAACACCAAUGACUUUUCUAGCACUGUAGAGGACUACACCUGGAAAAAUGUUUUUUCUUAUCCAAAUACCUUUGCAGAGGGACCGCGGCUGAACAGGCCACAUGCUUUAUUGUCACAGCGGAUGAAGGCCGAUGAAACAGGACAUGCUUUGGAAGACAAUGCAGUGAGAAACAACACCGCAUGGUCAACUUCUUCUUCAGGAUUUCCGAUCUCUCUGAAACCACUCUACCUAUGCCUUCGCUGUCCUAAAUCAAAAGUAAAAAAUACAGAAAACACGAGGUAAGCUGAAAGCACAGCCCAGCAGUGGGUG
rnacentral:lncRNA from 1 species